rnacentral:rRNA from 2 species
GACAUGACUCUCGGCAAUGGAUAUCUUGGCUCUUGCAUCGAUGAAGAGCGCAGCGAAAUGCGAUACAUGGUGCGAAUUGCAGAAUCCCGUGAAC